UCAGACCUCUAAUCGGAAAAGACUACCCGCUGAGUUUAAGCAUAUCAAUAAGCGGAGGA
rnacentral:rRNA from 1 species